UGGGGAAUAUUGCACAAUGGGCGCAAGCCUGAUGCAGCCAUGCCGCGUGUGUGAAGAAGGCCUUCGGGUUGUAAAGCACUUUCAGCGGGGAGGAAGGCGUUAAGGUUAAUAACCUUGGCGAUUGACGUUACCCGCAGAAGAAGCACCGGCUAACUCCGUGCCAGCAGCCGCGGUAAUACGGAGGGUGCAAGCGUUAAUCGGAAUUACUGGGCGUAAAGCGCACGCAGGCGGUCUGUCAAGUCGGAUGUGAAAUCCCCGGGCUCAACCGGGGAACUGCAUUCGAAACUGGCAGGAUAGAGUCUUGUAGAGGGGGGUAGAAUUCCAGGUGUAGCGGUGAAAUGCGUAGAGAUCUGGAGGAAUACCGGUGGCGAAGGCGGCCCCCUGGACAAAGACUGACGCUCAGGUGCGAAAGCGUGGGGAGCAAACAGG
rnacentral:rRNA from 1 species